rnacentral:misc_RNA from 1 species
UCUCCGUAGGUGAACCUGCGGAGGGAUCAUUAAACGAUUCCUGUGAGGCGGGAGCCGCCCGGUCCGCCGGUCGGGCUCCCGCUGAGGAUGAACCCGUGCACAUCGACUACGUUGCUUUGGGGGUCACCGCGUCCCCGCGACGCGGGCCCCCAGAGGUUCGAAACCCUUGAAUUCAAUGGCCGUCCGAGUCACAAGUAAAUAAGUUAAAACUUUCAACAACGGAUCUCUUGGUUCUGGCAUCGAUGAAGAACGCAGC